rnacentral:pre_miRNA from 1 species
UGUUAAAAAAAUUAUCCAUUUGUACUCUUAAAAACUAACGUGACUAAUAAAACAACCAAAUAGUGAGAUGUAGCAUGCCAUAUGUACCUCGUGCUGAUGUACAUGAAAUAGCUUUUAAUAGUAGAAAUUGAAUGACGUUUUUAAUA